CUACGGGAGGCAGCAGUGAGGAAUAUUGCACAAUGGGCGCAAGCCUGAUGCAGCGACGCCGCGUGGGCGAUGAAGGCCUUCGGGUCGUAAAGCCCUUUUCUGCGUGACGAGGAAGGACGGUAGCGCAGGAAUAAGUGUCGGCUAACUACGUGCCAGCAGCCGCGGUAAAACGUAGGACGCAAACGUUAUCCGGAAUUACUGGGCGUAAAGCGCGUUUAGGCGGAAGCGCAAGUCGGAUAUGAAAGCUCCCGGCUAAACUGGGGGAGGUUGUUCGAGACUGCGUUUCUAGAGUACGGUAGAGGCGUGUGGAAUUCCGCGUGUAGUGGUGAAAUGCGUAGAGAUGCGGAGGAACACCAGUGGCGAAGGCGGCACGCUGGGCCGAAACUGACGCUGAGACGCGAAAGCGUGGGGAGCGAACGGGAUUAGAAACCCCAGUAGUCC
rnacentral:rRNA from 1 species